UUGUAAUCAUGGCUAUACAUUGGACAAGCUUACGCCAGGGUACAGCCAAGAUUUGUACAUGCUUGCAUCCCUUGAUACCUUGAUAUUUAACCGUUUUUACCUUGGCUGCCAAGAUUACACUGAUUUAUGGAUUCACUGCAGAAAUUUUAGUUAAAUAUGCUUGUUAAACUUAAUAUAUGUUAACUAAAAUUAAUUUAUCUUUUAAUAUCAUGCUCUAAUGUAAACAUAGCAUCAAUAACAGACUACGUUGCAUGUGUUAAACAUUUUGUUAAUCUUUUUAAAAUUGUGUGCGCUACUGCCACCGGCCCCCUGUCGCCCAUUGUCCCUUUGUUCACAUUCCUUCCUAUUGUUCGCAAGCCAGCAUCCCGGUCCUGCGCCAUUUUUCUUAACAAAAGACUUUGUAUCCAGUCACAGUAAAACAGGUCCCUAUGGGAGAAUAAGAUGUCAUCAUCAUCACUCCUUUGUGGCCCCUGGGGAGCAAAGGGCUGCAACCACACAUCUCCAGCGGACUUGGUUUUGGGCUGCUCCUCUAAUCUGUGCCCAUGAGAGCCCAGCUGUUUUCGCCUCCUCCUCAACCGUUCUCUUCCAUGUUUUCCUUGGCCGGCCCACCCUCCUUUUUCCCUGGGGAUUCCAGUCUAAUGCAUGUUUUGAUGAAUAAGAUGUAAGUUGUGUAAAUAGUAGUGUGGAGACCUCAGAGCAACACUUAAUUUCAUGACCAACAGCGAUAAGAUGGUACUAUUAGUAAGCCAUACUUAAUGAUCAACACUACUCAUAUUAUCAUAUAGAGGACAGAGUAGGCAAAUGGUUGAGGACACUAUUGCUAAACAUAAAGCCAAGCCUCCAGGUGUUGUGUAUAUCAAUCAGCCCACUGGAGAUAUAUCAAUCUUUAAUAAAUUAUAAGGUCCCCACUGCUUGAUACUUCACCAAAUACUGGCUACACCAGAAAAUGACUAAAUGUUCUUAACACUUAACAACUACCACAAGCAUUACUUCUGGGUCACUCUGAAGGGUCUAAUCGUUCAAUUACUGAAUUGAUAAAGUUGAUGAAAUUGCUCAAAAAUUGUCUGGCACCUUCUUAGCUCAGAGACAUAGGAAUGUGGAUGGAUUAUGACAUACCUUGCACAAAUCAACAACCAGGCUUUUAUUGGAUUUGAAUCCCAAAGGAAAGAGAAAGUUUGUUAUCCAAAACAAACAUGGAAAAUAUCAGAAACCAACAAAACACAAGCAGGCAGAGUGUUAUGGACACAACUUUGGGGAAUCUCCUAAAACCAAGUAUAAAAAUAGAGAGGUGUGGUUGUGUCUCUCAGCUCCACAAGGGUCCACAAGAAUGAGGACAACAGUGAUUUUCGUAAUAAUUUUAGAUCAGAUUUUAAAAAAAAAAUUUGAUCAGAUGGAUCAGGUUAACAGUUUAAUACAUAUUGCAUUUAAGUGCUUAACGAAAAGAAAAGAUGCUCUUACCAAAAUAGUCUAAGAACAAUGCUGAUUUUAAAUUAAUAAAUUGUUUCCUUUUGUAAUAAUAUAAUAAUUUAAGUUGGCAUUGUAUGUAUGUUUAGUGUAGAUUUAAUGCCCUAAAUGAAAUAUACAAUUGACAUUUUUUUCUUUAAAGAAUUAGUUGCAAAUUUCUUUCAUUAUUUAGUUUCACUGUACAAUCUGAAAAAAGCUUGCAACAUUUGUAUUGACAAUACUUCUGCUGGUGAUAUUUAUUUCUAAUUAAUGAAGUAAAUUAAUAUAUAUUCAGUUUACUAUAAUUAAAUACCUCAUACUCGAGACAAAAAAACAUUUAUUAAAUAUCGCAGUGAUAUUCCUGUUCUACACAAUGCGUAUAAACCCUCGAACCAUCUGUCUUUUGAAAGAUUGUACAUUUUGUAUACACAAUGGCAUUCAUUUCAACACUAUUUAACCACAAUUAUAAUCUAGAGAUCCUGAACAUAUUUUCGUUCUGUUAUUUAUGGACAAGGCAGACUGGUCCAGAAUUAAAAUGUAAACCUUAAUUAGAAUACUUAAACGAGCUAUGCAAUUAAAUGUUGUUAGACAAAUAUUUUAUACUUUUUAUUUUUAAUGUUAUGUUUACGUAUCAUAGUACAAGACAGCUUCUGUAUUCUUGUACAGUAAAUUAAGUUUUUACAUUAGUUUAAUUUAAACUGUAGGCCUGCUUAACAUCUGUUACAUUAUAUGAAAAUGUUUUGUAUAUUUGUUUUAAUUUGUUUGUAUAAAAGUCAAAAUGAAAGUUACUACACUAUAAUUUACUUAUUCUUUUUCAAUCAAUACUUUAUAGUAUAGUUAUAAUUUUCUUACAAUUGAAUGGAUGGUAUAAUACAGAUUUUAAUAGAUGAGCAGUUCUUGUGUAUGUAUUGCUGCUUUACUACAUUUUGAUUAAAAUUUCUUUCAC